AUGUCGGAAAUCAUCUUGGAAAACAAACCUAAGCUCAUCAAAUGGCUUAGUUUGGAUUAUAAAUUUGUUUUGCAACAUGUUCAAGCUAAAAAACUUAUAACACACUCGCACUAUGAUGACUUGAUGGCCAUGAAGGCGAGCGACAGUAUCAUCAAACUUCUGGACAUCAUCCGUAGAAGAGGAGAAAAUGUGUGUCGAGAUUUUCUGGAUUUGCUAAAAGAUGAUGAUGUGAAUGAAAUAUCGCCGGAGCUAAGAGACUGGGUCAAAACAGUUGACUCAGAAGACCAAGAAACCUGAUAGAGACUGUGAACACAGGCCAGUACAAGAUUAUCAGAAGUUUCUAAAAUAAAACACCAGUCUGCUGGUUCAACAAGUGAAGAACAUUGAUCCAAUUAUUGAUGAUCUCGACCUACAUGAUGAAUCCGUUGCAGUUGUGAGAGUGAAGCCAACAGAUCAAGAGAAGAUGAGGAAACUGCUUACCGAACUGCUGAACAGCUACUGAGUGUUGUAUUGUUUACCCACCAGAUUAGCAGCAUGUUAUUAAAGGAAAUGGAAUAUUGUACUGUCAAUGCCAACAAUAAAUUUUUUAAUGUUUUGAUAGUAAAAGUGAUAGUUCUUGGAGUUUUCCUUUUUUAUAUAAAUUGAGAACCAAGUAUAUUGUACAAACAGGCCUACAUGUAACCAAACAUGUCAGGGAUAUAUAUAUAUAUAUAUAUGUAUAUAUAUAUGUGUGUGUGUGUGUGUGUGUGUGUGUGCAUUUUACAUAUUAACCUUUUGUAUAGGUUGCACUGCUUUAAAGUUUUUUUUUAUUGUUUCUAAAUAUAAAUAUUUUAAUGUUGAUUUUAAAUCGUUUAAACAGUGGCAGUUGUUAAUUACAUUUUAUCAAUAUAACGGCUUGCUAUGAAGCACACUUGGAUUUUGGAUGGCAUUUUACAUCGAUCUAUCUAAAAUUCUAUUAACUUAAAAAGCACAUUUCUACUAGUCUAUUUGCAUAGUUUUACUACUGGCGAAAUUAGCUCUCAGAGUCAUGACAGACCCACCCCCCCAAACCUCCCACCGGUUUCACGUACAGCCGUUUACACCCAUGUCAAACACAAACACAACUGGAGGUGCAGUAGAAGAACUCAGUCACUAGGUGGGGAUGGUGGUUCAGUACAACGAGUGAAGAGACGGAAGAAGGGGCUUGAACCGUGUCUAAAAGCACCUGUUGGCACAGGUAAAAAUAAAUACAAAUAUAAUAUGAAUUGUAAUUCAUUGCUCAAUCUAUAGAGAUUUAUUACACUCAGGUGGGUAAGUUACAGUUAUAUUUAUGGUCACAGCACCUAGCAGAUUCUGUUUGGGGAUGCAUUCAUGCUGCUUGGUGGUUUGAGGUUUGUUUUUGUAAACCGUUUGUAAGGAUUGCUUCAUUCUCAUCUAUUAGACUGUGGGGAAUUGUGGGAAAUUGUAAGCGCUCAGAAGGGCACACAGAGAACCUUGUCAGGCAUUACUGCACUAGAGAUUACAUAAAAAGUAACAUUUUUAAUGUGGUUGCAGCAAUCAGAGCUAGAGAACCAGGCUUUAGGUCUGUGUCUUUACUGUGCUCUAACAUUACUAUUUUGUAUUUUGAUGACAUUUUAGUUUACAUUUUAUUGUAAAUAAAUUUGCUUCAUGUAUGUUGAAUAUUUAUUUAUUUAUAACAAAUCUGAUGUCAAACAUCUGUGGAAC
ensembl:lncRNA